rnacentral:rRNA from 1 species
GAUGAACGCUGGCGGCGUGCCUAAUACAUGCAAGUCGAGCGAACGGACGAGAAGCUUGCUUCUCUGAUGUUAGCGGCGGACGGGUGAGUAACACGUGGAUAACCUACCUAUAAGACUGGGAUAACUUCGGGAAACCGGCGCUAAUACCGGAUAAUAUUUUGCACCGCAUGGUUCAAAAGUGAAAGACGGUCUUGCUGUCACUUAUAGCUGGAUCCGCGCUGCAUUAGCUAGUUGGUACGGUAACGGCUUACCAAGGCAACGAUGCAUAGCCGACCGGCGGGAGGGAUAGGCCGCACGGGAACGGGGCCACGGUCCAGAGGCCUAAGGGAGGCAGCAGAAGGGAACCGGCCGCAAUGGGCGAAAGCAUGACGGAGCGACGCGGCGUCAGUGAUGAAGGUGCUCGGAGCGGAAUACUCUGUUAUUAGGGAAGAACAGAUGUGGAAGUAACUGUGCACAGCGUGACGGUACUUAAUCAGAAAGCCACGGCUAACUACGUG